AAGGAUUUGUGACCAGACUUUUUCUGGGCGGAUCAUCCGGGGUUCUCUCCGGUGCACUUUGCCCAGUAAAGGCCAGCAUCGGUUUUCGGCGGGGGAUAAAAGCAGUAGGAAUGUGGCUCUCUACGGGGAGUGUUAUAGCCUAUUGUAUAAUACCCUGCUGGGGACCGAGGUACGCGCUUCUGCAAGGAUGCUGGCGUAAUGGUUAUCAAUCA
rnacentral:rRNA from 1 species